GGUUUGAAUGGGCUGCUGAGAGGUCCCUGGAAAUAGCCCCUCUAUAAGAUCGUACCCUAAACCGACACAGGUGGACUGGUAGAGAAUACCAAGGCGCUUGAGAGAACGAUGUUGAAGGAACUCGGCAAAAUACCUCCGUAAGUUCGCGAGAAGGAGGCCCGGUUUCUACGCAAGUGGAAGCUGGGGGCACAAACCAGGGGGUGGCGACUGUUUAUUAAAAACACAGGGCUCUGCGAAGUCGCAAGACGACGUAUAGGGUCUGACGCCUGCCCGGUGCCUGAAGGUUAAAAGGAGGGGUGAGAGCUCUGAAUUGAAGCCCAGGUAAACGGCGGCCGUAACUAUAACGGUCCUAAGGUAGCGAAAUUCCUUGUCGGGUAAGUUCCGACCUGCA
rnacentral:rRNA from 1 species